rnacentral:tRNA from 1 species
UUUUAUUUAGUUUAAUUAAAACAAUUCAUUUUCAAUGAAUAAACAAGACAAUCUUAAUAAAUU